rnacentral:misc_RNA from 1 species
AUGGUGUUUGACACAAGACCUGGCCCAAUUGGUGGCCGGAUCGGUCGAAUUUUGGCCGGGAAGUCCAACAGUCUCGCGCGCGCUGCGCGUCCGUUCCAAGGCUGUUUUCCGGCGUUCCAGGAGGCGGCCGGCCGUGGGGAAAGGCCGAGGUAGGGCGCCGGCGAGGUGGGGACGCAGGGGAGGCGGCGGCACGGUAAGGGGAGGAGGGAGGAGAGAGAA